ensembl:snoRNA
UUGCAUUCUUAAACCCUCUUGGUAGCUUUGCUCUAAGUACUUCCAAGAUAUGAGUGAAUGCUAUAAAAAUUGCAGGGGAGUCCAAAGGGCUGCGCUUCUCUGUGGCUCAGUCUUAUUUCAUACCUGCAACAUCU